rnacentral:rRNA from 1 species
CCUACGGGAGGCAGCAGUGAGGAAUAUUGGUCAAUGGGCGAGAGCCUGAACCAGCCAAGUCGCGUGAAGGAUGACGGCCCUACGGGUUGUAAACUUCUUUUGUCAGGGAGCAAUUGGGUCCACGCGUGGGCUUAGCGAGAGUACCUGAAGAAAAAGCAUCGGCUAACUCCGUGCCAGCAGCCGCGGUAAUACGGAGGAUGCGAGCGUUAUCCGGAUUUAUUGGGUUUAAAGGGUGCGUAGACGGGAAGGCAAGUUGGUUGUGAAAUCCCUCGGCUUAACUGAGGAACUGCAACCAAAACUAUCUUUCUUGAGUGCUGGAGAGGAAAGUGGAAUUCCUAGUGUAGCGGUGAAAUGCGUAGAUAUUAGGAGGAACACCAGUGGCGAAGGCGACUUUCUGGACAGUAACUGACGUUGAGGCACGAAAGUGUGGGGAGCAAACAGGAUUAGAUACCCCAGUAGUC